rnacentral:snRNA from 1 species
UUUCAGUUUAUGCAUGAUCUU